AUAAAUAAAAAUAAACUAUAUGACUUUGAAUAACAGAGCUGGAGGAACCUCAGAAAGAACUUCCAGGCUGACCUUGGCAUGGAAAUCAGGUGUCCUGAACUGGUUCACUUCUAGUGGGAUGCUGAAAUGGGAAGAAUGUAGGAAGCAGAAAUCCCAGGUCUCUUGUUGCACCCUUGCCAGCCCACCUGGUUGCUUGGCAAAUGUCUCAAGAUGUGACACAGCUAAUUGCAAAAGUCAGAAAACAUGGGAGGAAAAAAACUAUUGACCUAUUUCCUGGAGAAAGAAAAAAAAAUCCUGCCAAAACAAAGAUGUUUCCAGAGAGUGGGUUGGUUUUGAUAAAUAAUUAACUUGGGUUGGUUUCAUUGUGUCUGGAGGAAUAAUUACAACAGCAUGUUCACGCCCCUGGAGUUCUGUUGUCACAUUUUCCACGAUAAAAAUCUCCUUUGAAAAAAAUGUGUUCAGAAACUUGGCUGUAAAACAGUGCUCUGGUCUGAAGAAUGCCAUGAAAACCUUCACAGUUUAUGGGCAACAUUUCUAAUUGGAUCAAAAGAUGCUCUAUUGUUUCCAACUGGCCUCAAUUAAACCAAGGUGAAUGUAAUCGUAUUGCCUUGGGAGGCAUUUCAUGGCCACCAAAGUAGAACACUCUGUUGUCCUGUUGGGAAUGUUGCUCCUCUCAACAGUUACUGAGUAGCCUGUCGCCCUGGCAUAUAUCUUCCUCUGCGCUAGGUGCUGGGCUGCUUGGAGGUGAAUAUAGCAGGAGCUUUCAUCUGAUGUUUUGCUCACAAUCUCCCUGAAGAGAUGAUUGUUUACAAUGUAGAGGAAAGAGUGCCGAGCUCAAGAUGUUGAUUCAGAUUUAGCUCCUCUGCUUAAAAACUGAAGUGUGUCAAAUUCCUUCUUUGUGAAAUGAGAUAAUUGGAUGAUUAUAUGGCAAAUAGGUUUGAAUUCUUAGACCAGCUCUGGUGAUGGUGCCUGCUGUAUUGAGUAGAUUUCUGGGGUCAUGUCCAUACUUGGUGGGAAAAAAAAAAU
rnacentral:lncRNA from 9 species